rnacentral:rRNA from 1 species
CUUGCCAGGGAACUACGAGCCCUAGCUUAAAACCCAAAGGACUUGGCGGUGCUUUAGACCCCCCUAGAGGAGCCUGUUCUAGAACCGAUAACCCCCGUUAAACCUCACCCUCUCUUGUUCUCCCCGCCUAUAUACCGCCGUCGUCAGCUUACCCUGUGAAGGUUUAACAGUGAGCACAAUUGGCACAGCCCAAAACGUCAGGUCGAGGUGUAGCGUAUGAGAGGGGAAGAAAUGGGCUACAUUCGCUGAUUCAGUGAAAACGAACGAUGCCUUGAAAUACACAUCUGAAGGAGGAUUUAGCAGUAAGAGGAAAAUAGAGUGUCCCUCUGAAACCGGCCCUGAAGCGCGCACACACCGCCCGUCACUCUCCCCAAACACCAAUACACAACUAAAUAAACAAUUAUUAACACAAAGGGGAGGCAAGUCGUAACAUGGUAAGUGUACCGGAAGGUGCACUUGGAAAAAU